rnacentral:rRNA from 1 species
CCUACGGGAGGCAGCAGUGAGGAAUAUUGGUCAAUGGACGAGAGUCUAAACCAGCCAAGUAGCGUGAAGGAUGACUGCCCUAUGGGUUGUAAACUUCUUUUAUAUGGGAAUAAAAUGUUCCACGUGUGGGAUUUUGUAUGUAACAUAUGAAUAAGGAUCGGCUAACUCCGUGCCAGCAGCCGCGGUAAUACGGAGGAUCCGAGCGUUAUCCGGAUUUAUUGGGUUUAAAGGGAGCGUAGGUGGAUUGUUAAGUCAGUUGUGAAAGUUUGCGGCUCAACCGUAAAAUUGCAGUUGAAACUGGCAGUCUUGAGUACAGUAGAGGUGGGCGGAAUUCGUGGUGUAGCGGUGACAUGCUUAGAUAUCACGAAGAACUCCGAUUGCGAAGGCAGCUCACUGGACUGCAACUGACACUGAGGCUCGAAAGUGUGGGUAUCAAACAGGAUUAGAUACCCUUGUAGUC